rnacentral:lncRNA from 1 species
CGACAUCGUGUGAUUCUGGUCGAAGAGACUCUGUACUCGACUUCAGAACUCUCGAAGACGACGGUCCAGGAAUGGUUACUGUCGUAGGGUCCAACUCCGCACGGUCACUAUGGUUUUGGUUGGAGGCAAUAAUCUCGUCUCCGCUUUCAUUUACCAUAACUGGAGUUGAAUGACUACCCGCCGCAAUAAUGUUCUGAUUCCCACGAGGAGCCAUUGGUCUUUCUUGAUCAGAAUGCACAUGACUUUUACUAACGAUUGGUCUUUUAGGAUUAGACGUAGUCUUUUUCUCUGCAAAUACAGAUCGUAAACUUUUAGGCGGUUGCCUAUUUUUUUCUGAGGUUUCAUCUGUGUUGAGGAUUGAACUGGAUUUUACAAAACAAAUUGAACAAGCUUCCCGUUCAAACGUUAGAAAAUUUGAAAGUGACGUCACAAUACG